UUAGCUACUUUAGAUAGGUUUGUAUUCAUAAUUAUGGAUGCAAACAUCAAACCAAAUUGUUUGUAUCUAUGAUGGCUAAAGAACUUUGUAUUAUACAAAAGCCACGUAGACAUUACGCUAAGUGGCUAAACGAAAAAGUACAAAGGAAUCAAUUUUUCUUACCUUUUCUUUCGAUGAUUAAU
rnacentral:ncRNA from 1 species